CCUCGGCUCGGGCCAUCUUGUGCCCUCCGGGUAGCAUUCCAGCCGACGCUCGCUGAGUGGCCCUCACCCAAGACUUAUUAUCCUCGGUGCGGGGCCGGUGACCGCAGUCAAGAGUUGGUGGUGUGGGUUGGUAUCCAAUCAAGUUCAGUUUUGUGUCUGUCGGUGCGGAGUUGUGAAGGGUCGCUGUGUCACGCGCCCACCGAAUGAGUGCGGAGUCGAGAAAGGAGACUUUUCACUUGUACCUUUGAAGUGAACUUGCGAAAUCAUUUUAUGCUUUAUAAUGAUUAAAAGACAAAAUUAAUCGCUUAGUGAUUUCAGAAAGUGAAAGCGGAAGUUGAUUUAAUUAAUUCGAGUAAUAAAAGUGAUGAAAAAAAGUGAUAAAGAGUGAUAAAAGUUGAAAUGGAAAAUAAAAUUUGAUAAAGUGAUUCAUUUUAGAAUGAGACGACUGAUAAAGUGACUCAAUUAGAAUUUCUACAAGACGGGAGGAGAGAAAAUAAGGGAAAUAUCACAUUUAAUCUUUUAUCUUUUCCUUUCUCCUAUCUUUAUUUCCUCCUCUUACCAGUUAUUUCGUUCGUGACGUCGACCUUUCCCUUUCUCUCUGUCUCUCUCUUGCUUCCCUUGGUUCGUUAACGUGAACGAAAAGCAAAGAGUGAUGCAGUUCUGACGUCAUCAAGUGAGUCACGUGAUCUGACCCACAGUGACGUCAUCAGAUGUUCCGUCCCGCCAGGAUGCAAGUCACGUGAUCUGACGUCAUGCUCCUCCCACCUUCCUUUAAAGUGUUUUGGCGAUCGUGGGGACAAGGACGAAAGGGAGAAGGAAGAGAAGGGGAUGAUGGUUGAGAAAGAGAGACGAAAGGAGAGUCAGACAGAAAGGAGAGGAAAGGAAGGAGAAAGAUAGAGAAAAGAAAUAAGGGAAAAGGAAAAGUAGAGAGAUACAGAGAAAGAGAAUAAUAAAAAAAAGAGUGAAAGAAAAAAGAAUUUUGUGCAUUCGAAAAUAACAAAAAAAGAGAAAGGAACGAAAGAAAGAAAGAGGAAAGACAAGACAAAAAAAGGGAAAAAAAUAGAGAGAGAGACAAGCAAACACAAAUAAAUCAAGAGAAAGGAAGGAGAAGAGAGAACCAGCAAGAGGAAAAGAAAAGAUGUCGAUGCAGGCUUGUUUCGCCAAACUUGUCUGGUAUGUGUUCCUAAUGAGAAGUAUUCUGCUUUGAUUCGUAAGUAAAAGGAAAAAGGAAAAAGAAAAUGAAAAGGGAGAAAGAAAAUGAAAAAAAGGAGAAAGAAGACAUACGCAAACACAGGCUUACUGCGGCAUCACAUCGGAGCAAGUAG